rnacentral:rRNA from 1 species
GCUAGAACGAACGCUGGCGGCGCGUCUUAAGCAUGCAAGUCGAACGGCAAGAGGUAGCAAUACCUCCUAGAGUGGCGGACUGGUGAGUAACACGUGGGUGACAUACCCUUCAGAUGGGGAUAGCUAUUAGAAAUAGUAGAUAAUACCGAAUACGAGCACAGGGGUUAGAGAUCUGUGAGGAAAGGAGCUAAGGCUCCGCUGAAGGAAUGGCCUGCGGCCCAUUAGCUAGUUGGUGAGGUAAGAGCCCACCAAGGCGAUGAUGGGUAUCCGGCCUUAGAGGGUGAACGGACACAUUGGGACUGAGAUACGGCCCAGACUCCUACGGGAGGCAGCAGCUAAGAAUAUUCCGCAAUGGACGAAAGUCUGACGGAGCGACGCCGCCGUGGAUGAAGAAGGCCGGAAGGUUGUAAAAUCCUUUUGAAACUGAAGAAUAAGCGUUGUAGGGAAUGACAGCGUGGUGACAGUAGGUUUUGAAUAAGCAACGGCUAAUUACGUGCCAGCCGCCGC